ACCCCUGCGGGAGGCAGCAGUGGGGAAUAUUGGACAAUGGGCGCAAGCCUGAUCCAGCCAUGCCGCGUGAGUGAUGAAGGCCCUAGGGUUGUAAAGCUCUUUCACCGGUGAAGAUAAUGACGGUAACCGGAGAAGAAGCCCCGGCUAACUUCGUGCCAGCAGCCGCGGUAAUACGAAGGGGGCUAGCGUUGUUCGGAUUUACUGGGCGUAAAGCGCACGUAGGCGGACUAUUAAGUCAGGGGUGAAAUCCCGGGGCUCAACCCCGGAACUGCCUUUGAUACUGGUAGUCUUGAGUUCGAGAGAGGUGAGUGGAAUUCCGAGUGUAGAGGUGAAAUUCGUAGAUAUUCGGAGGAACACCAGUGGCGAAGGCGGCUCACUGGCUCGAUACUGACGCUGAGGUGCGAAAGCGUGGGGAGCAAACAGGAUUAGAAACCCGAGUAGUCCCAUGAU
rnacentral:rRNA from 1 species